UACGGAGGGAGCUAGCGUUAUUCGGAAUUACUGGGCGUAAAGCGCACGUAGGCGGCUUUGUAAGUUAGAGGUGAAAGCCUGGAGCUCAACUCCAGAAUUGCCUUUAAGACUGCAUCGCUUGAAUCCAGGAGAGGUGAGUGGAAUUCCGAAGUGUAGAGGUGAAAUUCGUAGAUAUUCGGAAGAAACACCAGUGGCGAAGGCGGCUCACUGGACUGGUAUUGACGCUGAGGUGGCGAAAAGCGUGGGGAGCCAAACAGG
rnacentral:rRNA from 1 species